rnacentral:tRNA from 1 species
GAGGGUGCAGCUCAGAGGUAGAGUGUGUGCUUAGUAUGCAUAAGGUCCUGGGUUCAAUCUCCAGUACUUCUG